CUACGGGUUGCUCCAGUGAGGAAUAUUGCACAAUGGGGGGAACCCUGAUGCAGCAACGCCGCGUGGAGGAUGACGCAUUUCGGUGUGUAAACCCCUUUUAUAUGUCAAGAAAAUGACGGUAGCAUAUGAAUAAGCACCGGCUAACUCCGUGCCAGCAGCCGCGGUAAUACGGAGGGGGCAAGCGUUACUCGGAAUCACUGGGCGUAAAGGACGCGUAGGCGGGUUGGAAAGUCAGGUGUGAAAUCCUACAGCUUAACUGUAGAACUGCACUUGAAACUUCUAAUCUAGAGUAUGGGAGGGGGAGAUGGAAUUAGUGGUGUAGGGGUAAAAUCCGUAGAUAUCACUAGGAAUACCUAAAGCGAAGGCGAUCUCCUGGAACAUUACUGACGCUAAGGCGUGAAAGCGUGGGGAGCAAACAGGAUUAGAUACCCCUGUAGUC
rnacentral:rRNA from 1 species